AGGGCAAUUGCUGGGUCAUGGUUAAGUUUGUUUAGUUUUUUAAGAAACUGCCAAAACUAUUUUCCAGAGUGGCCGUGCCAUUUUACAUUCUCACCAGCAAU
rnacentral:pre_miRNA from 1 species